GCCUGAGGAUUGAAGUCUGAGGAUUUACCCCAGUGUCAGACCAAGCCCUGCAUGAACAUUUAUCCUGUGAUUAGUGUCCUUGUGAAAAGUGUUCAGAGGAUUAGAAGAAUCAUUGCAGAGCUCCUCCUGCAUGCAUAAUAUACAAAAGCUAAUAUUUGGAUUGAAGCAGCAUGUUCAGUGUCCAACCACUGUGCUUUUGUGCAGGAGGAGUGGCUCACUAUUAGUCUCACUGUGCCAGUUUUCCUCCUAAUUGUACACUCGGUGCCACAUGAACAGAAUGAAUAUCCACACCCCCAGAAAAUGUGUCCUUAAAUGUUUGAGUUAACGCUGCAGACAAAUGUGAGACAAAUGAGCUAGUUAGAUGUGUUUACCUCUUCUUUUUCCAAAUGUUUCAGCCUCAAUUUAAAAUAUGGAAGCUCCAGGACCGAGAAACCUGUGAAGACAUGGUCGGUUUAUUUUUUCUGACCAAAAAACGUCCUUUGUUAGGAUGAGAAAACUGAAUUUGAAGUUAUGAAGAUUUUAGUUAUUUUGUGUUAUCAUGUCCACUUGUUUAGUGUUUUUAAUACAGUAAGUGUUCAUUGUUUUGCUUGCACUGUUUUUUUUGUUUUUGUUUUCAGUUCACAAAUCAACAGAAUCCUGUUUAAAUGAGAGAAGCCACUGUGGAAAAAUCCUCUGCCGAGGCCACCACAGUGUCAAUAAACUGCCCUACUUCACAAGCACAUUCCAGGUUUUAUGAAGAGGACAGGACGGGGGAGAAAAGUUUGACGAGAACGAAGAUAGACUGAAUCCAGCUUUUCAGUCAUGCCUGCUGCCAUCAGAUAAAGAUGUGAUUCUGAAAUGUCUCAUCACAGCACCAAACCAAACAUGAAGUCAUGGACAUCUACACUUGUAUGAACUUAUUGUUUGACCUGCUUUACCAUUUUCCAUGAUCUGUUAAUGAAAGAGUCAAGCUCUUGAUCUGAUCCAUGCCUCACUGAGACGUGAACCAAAACAAAGAGCUGAAAGACGCUGACCCGAGAACCAAACAGAGGAAGAUUAAUUGCUGUGGGUUUGUCUUCAUAAACAACGCUUCUCAUGUUA